rnacentral:lncRNA from 1 species
UAGGUUGUAAGAAAAUGUUUUGUCAAACAAUAAAGACAUAAAUCAUCCAUCACCAAUUAAUUAUAAACCAAAACUUUAUGAAAAACAACAAACAUUUUGAAUCAAAACUCCAAACCUUUUUGUUCUUGGUAAGAACAUCAAGAAUAUUGAAGAACACACAUGAAAACUCAUAAGAGCUCCAUGAAUGUUUUCACACAAUAAAACUCAAAUUUUCACUACACAAAAGAUUGUUAACAUCCUAGGGUACUUAGGGGUUCCAAAAGUCUCUUUAAAACUCUUUUAACAAGACAAACAUGAACCCAAAAAUCCA